rnacentral:rRNA from 1 species
AUUGAACGCUGGCGGCAGGCCUAACACAUGCAAGUCGAGCGGAUGAAGGGAGCUUGCUCCUGGAUUCAGCGGCGGACGGGUGAGUAAUGCCUAGGAAUCUGCCUGGUAGUGGGGGAUAACGUCCGGAAACGGGCGCUAAUACCGCAUACGUCCUGAGGGAGAAAGUGGGGGAUUUCGGACCUCACCCUAACCGGUGAGCCUAGGUCGGAUUAGCUAGUUGGUGGGGUAAAGGCCUACCAAGGCGACGAUCCGUAACUGGUCUGAGAGGAUGAUCAGUCACACUGGAACUGAGACACGGUCCAGACUCCUACGGGAGGCAGCAGUGGGGAAUAUUGGACAAUGGGCGAAAGCCUGAUCCAGCCAUGCCGCGUGUGUGAAGAAGGUCUUCGGAUUGUAAAGCACUUUAAGUUGGGAGGAAGGGCAGUAAGUUAAUACCUUGCUGUUUUGACGUUACCAACAGAAUAAGCACCGGCUAACUUCGUG